rnacentral:rRNA from 1 species
GACGAACGCUGGCGGCGUGCUUAACACAUGCAAGUCGAACGAAGAGCGAUGGAAGCUUGCUUCUAUCAAUCUUAGUGGCGAACGGGUGAGUAACGCGUAAUCAACCUGCCCUUCAGAGGGGGACAACAGUUGGAAACGACUGCUAAUACCGCAUACGAUCUAACCUCGGCAUCGAGGAUAGAUGAAAGGUGGCCUCUACAUGUAAGCUAUCACUGAAGGAGGGGAUUGCGUCUGAUUAGCUAGUUGGAGGGGUAACGGCCCACCAAGGCGAUGAUCAGUAGCCGGUCUGAGAGGAUGAACGGCCACAUUGGGACUGAGACACGGCCCAGACUCCUACGGGAGGCAGCAGUGGGGAAUCUUCCGCAAUGGACGAAAGUCUGACGGAGCAACGCCGCGUGAGUGAUGACGGCCUUCGGGUUGUAAAGCUCUGUUAAUCGGGACGAAAGGCCAUCUUGCGAAUAGUGAGAAGGAUUGACGGUACCGGAAUAGAAAGCCACGGCUAACUACGUG